rnacentral:rRNA from 1 species
CGGUGAAGCCCAGCUUGCUGGGUGGAUCAGUGGCGAACGGGUGAGUAACACGUGAGCAACCUGCCCCUGACUCUGGGAUAAGCGCUGGAAACGGCGUCUAAUACUGGAUAUGUGACGUGACCGCAUGGUCUACGUUUGGAAAGAUUUUUCGGUUGGGGAUGGGCUCGCGGCCUAUCAGCUUGUUGGUGAGGUAAUGGCUCACCAAGGCGUCGACGGGUAGCCGGCCUGAGAGGGUGACCGGCCACACUGGGACUGAGACACGGCCCAGACUCCUACGGGAGGCAGCAGUGGGGAAUAUUGCACAAUGGGCGGAAGCCUGAUGCAGCAACGCCGCGUGAGGGAUGACGGCCUUCGGGUUGUAAACCUCUUUUAGCAGGGAAGAAGCGAAAGUGACGGUACCUGCAGAAAAAGCGCCGGCUAACUACGUGCCAGCAGCCGCGGUAAUACGUAGGGCGCAAGCGUUAUCCGGAAUUAUUGGGCGUAAAGAGCUCGUAGGCGGUUUGUCGCGUCUGCUGUGAAAUCCCGAGGCUCAACCUCGGGCCUGCAGUGGGUACGGGCAGACUAGAGUGCGGUAGGGGAGAUUGGAAUUCCUGGUGUAGCGGUGGAAUGCGCAGAUAUCAGGAGGAACACCGAUGGCGAAGGCAGAUCUCUGGGCCGUAACUGACGCUGAGGAGCGAAAGGGGUGGGGAGCAAACAGGCUUAGAUACCCUGGUAGUCCACCCCGUAAACGUUGGGAACUAGUUGUGGGGUCCAUUCCACGGAUUCCGUGACGCAGCUAACGCAUUAAGUUCCCCGCCUGGGGAGUAC